rnacentral:lncRNA from 1 species
CUGAGGUGAAGUUGUGUCUCACUGGCGGCAGAAUUGAGAAACUAUCACUCCUUCCAACACAGCAACCCGAGGAACUGCCUGAGGCAUCCACUUCCUGUUUCCACAGGGGCAGAACAGUUGUUUAAGGCUAUCUUUAAAUUGGUGGCUUAGAAAAUUAAAGUGGCAGAGAAGAUUCAGAAACUGUAUAAUCCUCAUCUGAAUAACUUUUGUAAAUGAAGCAAGAGAAAGCAGUCAUCUUGUUUCCUGAAGUUAAAGGUCUUCCACCACGUGAGGACACCUGAUAUGGUGCCAUCUACGGGGAAUGAGCCUUCAUCAGAUACUAAACCUGCCAGCACGCUAAUCUUGGACUUUCAGUCUCCAGAAGUCUCAGAAAAUAAAUUUCUGUUCUUAUAAAUUACCCUGUGUGUGUGUGUGUGUGUGUGUGUCUGUGUGUGUGCAUGUUUUGUUACAGCAACACAAAUGGACUAAGACGCUUCCUGUGAUCUCUCUGGUCUUACAACUGAAUUACCCAUUCUCUGCCUAUUGGCCCCACCCAGUUCUCUAAGCCAGGCUGAUGUACCCAAGUGUCAUAUCUCUACCAGUCCAUACAUACAAAUCAAAUAUGAGCCUGCAUUCUGCAUUCCUGGCCAUCUCUCAGGAGGCAUAUCCCCUGCCCCUGCCAAUGUUUGGUUCUAACCUGCCUUCCUUCACUCUUGCUUCCUUGGAUCUCUGGUUUCCUGUCCCCAAAUUGAAUUCAAUUCAAUUCCAACUCUUCUUGCGUCUUCUCCAACAUGGGACUUUGUUUAUCUGUGAAUUCUUUGUACUAGCUCCAUUCUCUCCAUCCUGUAGCCUUCUGUUCAUAGCUCCAAUAAUACCACUCAUCUUGUCCAUUGUAUUUAUCUGUUUAGAGGGUUGGCAUUCUCCACUGACUGUUAGUUCCAUUAGGAUAUGGAACAGGUAUGAUAUAUCUCUGUACUUUCAAGGCCUAACACUCUGCCAGGCAUAU